rnacentral:misc_RNA from 1 species
CCGGUUCUCAACACCUGUCAGAGUCAAGGCCCACGAAUUGGGCUUGGGAAUUGGGUAAAGGAAGUCUGUUUGGAGACGACCAUGGAACCACCCACCAAGCCAGCGGUUGAACGGCUUACAUAACGAGAUUGGAUAGCGAUUUGGUAGCCACAAGUGCCUUGAGUGUGCCUGCAGACCUAAAAUACUGACCAAGUAGUGCCUUGGGAGCAAGUUCCUGAUUGGAGAGAAGCCCCAGAAUGUCGGGCAGCUACCAGCGCCAGAGCCUGGAGCUCCGGAGUCCAGACCAUGGAUCUGGGGACGAUCCCGAUGGAUGUUUGCGAAACCAUUUGGGAUCUUCGGCUAGCCAGCGCAGGCGGCAGCAACGCAUCGCCCAGCAGCGGCAGGAUUCGUGGUUCCGACACUCGAUGCCGCCGGCAAUAAACCGAGACUUUGAGUCCCUGGAACACCUGACGCCAAGAGCCUCCGAUGGCCUGGAUGAGCAGCUAGCCGCCUCCGUGUCGCACAGUGUGCACAGCGGUGGCAGUGUUACGCUUUGCGGACCGCCGGACCAUUCCAGCAUCCACCUGAACAGUGCCAAUAGCAACCUCGGCUUUAUCGACUCGGAUACGCCCAAUACGCCGGUUACUCCGGUCUCCGGACUACAGCCCCCUGCCUCGGUGUCCACCUCCGUGGCCGGGACACUCUCCUCCCGUCGACGGUCGUCCAACCGCAAGGAUUCCAAGGGCUCCAUACUGUCACGCCAGAGCGGCAAGAGUCGGGUUUCCGUUCUGGCGCAACGUGGACUGCGAAUGACGGCCUCGUUUCUGCGAAGGAAGCGCACGGAGUACGAAGAUGACGAGGACUUCACCUCGUCCGCUGGGUACGAUGCAGAUGAUGGGGAGAGGCGUGUCAUAAACCUAAAUGGGCCACAGCCCACUAAGUACGGUAAUAAUCGCAUAACGACGGCAAAAUAUAGUUUCAUCAGCUUUCUGCCCGCGUUCCUGUUCGAGCAGUUCCGGCGUUACUCCAACUGCUUUUUCCUACUAAUUGCCAUACUGCAACAAAUCCCGGAGGUGUCGCCCACGGGUCGUUACACCACGCUAGUGCCACUGAUGUUCAUCCUCUCGGUGAGCGCCAUUAAGGAGAUAAUCGAGGACAUUAAACGACAUCGGGCGGAUAAUGAGAUCAAUCACCGAUCGAUAGAGCGCCUGGAUAGUGGCUCCUGGUGCACAGUUCGCUGGUCCGAGUUGACGGUGGGCGAUAUCAUCAAAGUGGGAAUCAAUACCUUCUUCCCCGCCGAUCUGAUUCUUCUGUCGUCCAGUGAACCGCAGGCCAUGUGCUUCAUAGAGACGGCCAAUCUGGAUGGCGAGACCAACCUGAAGAUUCGACAGGCCCUACCAGCCACCGCUGAACUGCUGGAGACGAAGGAUCUGCAACGAUUGGAGGGCAGGAUCGAGUGCGAGCUGCCCAACCGGCAUUUAUACGAGUUUAACGGGGUGCUCAGGGAGACUGGGAAGCCACCCGCUGCUUUGGGCAAUGAUCAGGUGCUCCAACGUGGCGCCAUUCUUCGGAACACGGCAUGGGUGUUCGGGAUCGUGGUCUACUCCGGGCAGGAGACGAAGCUGAUGAAGAACUCUACCUCGGCGCCACUGAAGCGCUCCACCGUAGACAAGCUGACCAACACCCAGAUCCUCAUGCUCUUCAUGAUCCUCAUCUCAUUGUGUAUCAUCAGCGGCCUGUGCAAUCUGUUCUGGACGAGGGAACACUCGGAAACGGACUGGUACCUGGGCCUAACCGACUUCAAGACCAAGAGCCUUGGCUACAACCUGCUGACCUUCUUCAUUCUGUACAACAACCUGAUCCCCAUCUCGCUGCAGGUGACGCUUGAGCUUGUGCGUUUCCUGCAGGCCAUUUUCAUCAACUACGACAUUGAGAUGUACCACGAGGAGUCCAACACGCCCGCAAUGGCACGCACCUCGAACCUGAACGAAGAGCUGGGCAUGGUCAAGUAUAUAUUCUCGGACAAAACAGGCACCCUCACGCAGAACGUGAUGGAGUUCAAGAAAUGCUCCAUCGCCGGAUACGUGUACACAGCCGAGCGAACGCCGGAGGAAUCUCAGCUGGUGCAGAAUAUCCUCGGUCGUCAUGAGACGUCCGCCGUAAUCGAGGAGUUUCUGGAGCUCCUAUCGGUGUGCCAUACGGUAAUCCCCGAGCGCAAGGAAAACGGCAACAUGAUCUACCACGCUGCCAGUCCGGAUGAGCGUGCUCUGGUGGAAGGUGCCCAGAAAUUUGGCUACAUCUUCGACACACGUACGCCGAAGUAUGUGGAGAUCAAUGCGCUUGGCGUGCGAAAGCGAUACGAGGUUCUGAAUGUCCUGGAGUUCACCUCGUCGCGUAAGCGUAUGUCGUUGAUUGUUCGGACGCCGGAAAAUAAGAUCAAGCUAUUCUGCAAGGGAGCGGACACGGUGAUAUACGAACGUCUGGCUCCUCAGGGUCAAGCCUUCCGGGAACAGACGCUGCGUCAUUUGGAGGAGUUCGCUUCGGAUGGGUUGAGGACCCUCUGCUUGGCAGUUGCUGACAUUCGGCCGGAUGUUUACCAAGAGUGGAGCCAGACUUUCGACAAGGCAUCGGUGGCUCUUCAGAAUCGCGAGAGCAAGUUGGAGGACGCGGCCAAUCUGAUUGAGAACAAUCUUCGUCUGCUAGGCGCCACAGCAAUCGAAGAUAGACUGCAGGAUGGUGUGCCGGAAACGAUUGCUUCUUUGCUGGACGCCGGCAUCUAUAUCUGGGUCCUUACCGGGGACAAGCAGGAGACGGCCAUCAAUAUUGGCUACUCCUGCCGUCUGAUUAGCCACUCAAUGGAUAUCAUAAUCCUCAACGAGGAGAGCCUCGAUGCCACCCGCGAAGUCAUCCAUCGCCAUUAUAGAGAGUUCAAGAGUUCGUCGGCGAAGGACGCCAAUGUGGCACUAGUCAUCGAUGGUACUACGCUGAAGUACGCCCUUAGCUGCGACCUGCGCAAUGAUUUCCAAGACUUAUGCAUUCUGUGUCGGGUGGUCAUCUGCUGCAGAGUGUCCCCAAUGCAAAAGGCUGAGGUGGUCGAGAUGGUCACCCAGAGCACGAAUGCUGUGACUCUAGCCAUUGGCGAUGGAGCCAACGACGUGGCCAUGAUCCAAAAGGCAAACGUGGGAAUCGGAAUAUCUGGAGUUGAGGGUCUCCAGGCGGCGUGCGCAUCGGACUACUCGAUCGCCCAGUUUCGCUAUUUGCAGCGCCUACUCUUGGUCCACGGUGCUUGGAACUACGCUAGGAUCUCCAAGCUGAUCCUGUACAGCUUCUACAAGAACGUGUGCCUGUAUGUAAUCGAGCUGUGGUUCGCCGUCUACUCCGGCUGGUCGGGCCAGAUCCUGUUUGAACGCUGGACAAUUGGCCUGUACAAUGUGCUAUUCACGGCCAUGCCGCCGUUUGCGAUGGGACUCUUUGAGAAAUUCUGCACGGCGGAAACGAUGAUCCGGUACCCGAUGCUUUAUAAAACAUCACAGAAUGCGAAGCUCUUCAAUGUGAAGGUGUUUUGGAUCUGGAUAUUCAAUGCGCUACUGCACUCGGUGUUCCUUUUCUGGUUACCACUGGCAGCAUACACAACGGAGGUGAUCUGGAGCGAUGGCAAGACCAGUGAUUACCUAUUGAUGGGCAACCUCGUUUAUACUUACGUGAUUGUAACUGUUUGCCUGAAGGCUGGACUCAUCACCAAUUCGUGGACCUGGCUUACCCAUCUGGCCAUUUGGGGCUCCAUUGUCCUGUGGUUCGGCUUUGUGCUGAUUUACAGCCAUGUGUGGCCGAUGUUCAAGUUCGCGAGCAACUUCCGCGGCAUGGACAUACAGUUGCUGUCGACGCCAGUUUUCUAUUUCUGCUUGAUGCUGGUGCCCAUUACCACGCUGCUGGUCGAUGUGAUCUGCAAACUCGUACAUAAUACCGUGUUUAAGACACUGACGGAGGCUGUUCGCGAGACGGAGAUCCGACGCAGCGACAUCUCCGAAGUGAUGAACGAGCCGCGAUCUUCAUUCACGGAAACGGCCCGGCUGCUACGUAAUGUCUUUACCCGUCGUGCCAACACGAGAGUCGAAACGGAUCUCGAGCUAUCGCAUGGCUACGCGUUUUCCCAGGAGGAGGGCGGAGCUGUGCCGCAGUCUAUCAUUAUACGUGCCUAUGAUACGAAUCUGCCAAAGCCCGAGGGUAACUAAACCGGAAACGAGGGGACUCUGGAUCUCACGGUGCACAUGUAUAUAGGAUAACGCAAGGAGCUACGAUUUCGAUUCAGAUUGGUAUAUAUUUAGAGCACACUUCUGUAAUUGGAAAACAUUUCGUAGACGCCACUAAACAUUGAAUAUUGCGCUUAUAAGUUUAUCUGUCUAUUUGCUGUUAUUUAUUUUGUAAGAUCGCGAGCAAAAACACAUUUAAGAGGCUAGAGUUCGGUUUUUUUUUGUAUCUGUCCUUGUCCGCGGCGCAGCUUUGUGAUACGGAUACAGACUUGCAUUCUUUUUUAAAAGUCUAUCUCUAAGUAAACUGUAAACAUUUGUACCUACAUAUGCAUUACAUUAUUGUGAAUUUCAAAAACAUAUUGAUGUCAGCAAA